CUCUUAUCAAGAGAGGUGGAGGGAUCGGCCCUAUGAAACCUCGGCAACCCCUAUUUUAUUUAGGAAGGUGCCAAUUCCUUUAGAAUUUAAAUUCUAAAAGAUAAGAA
rnacentral:ncRNA from 16 species